rnacentral:rRNA from 1 species
AUUGAACGCUGGCGGAAUGCUUUACACAUGCAAGUCGAACGGCAGCACGGGGGCAACCCUGGUGGCGAGUGUUGAACGGGUGAGUAAUACAUCGGAACGUGCCCGGUCGUGGGGGAUAACGUAGCGAAAGUUACGCUAAUACCGCAUACGAUCUGCUGAUGAAAGCGGGGGACCUUCGGGCCUCGCGCGAUCGGAGCGGCCGAUGUCAGAUUAGGUAGUUGGUGGGGUAAAGGCCUACUAAGCCGACGAUCUGUAGCUGGUCUGAGGGGACGACCAGCCACAGUGGGACUGAGAGACGGCCCAGAGUCCGACGGGAGGCAGCGGUGGGGAAUUUUGGAAAAAGGGCGCAAGCCUGAUCCAGCCAUUCCGGGUGCAGGAAGAAGGCCUUCGGGUGGUAAACUGCUUUUGUAUGGAACGAAAAGGCUCUGGCUAAUACCUGGGGCUCAUGACGGUACCGUAAGAAUAAGCACCGGCUAACUACGU